rnacentral:rRNA from 1 species
UGACUGUGCUAAGGUAGCGUAAUCAGUUGGCUUUUAAAUGGAGUCGAGUAUGAAUGGGUCUACGGAAACAAGCUGUCUCUUUCUGGUUUUAUUGAAAUUUCUUUAAGGGUGCAAAGUCCCUUGAUUAGAAAAAAGACGAGAAGACCCUUAGAGUUUUUAUUUAAGGUAAGAAUUUAUUUAAGUUUUUGCUGGGGCGGCAAAGAGACAAAUAGUUAACUCUCUUUUUAUUGUUUUUAGAAGACGACAAUGUUAAGAAUCAUUAAACUACCUUAGGGAUAACAGCAUAAUUAAGUUUUAGUUUGUGACCUCGAUGUUGGACUAGGAAAGCUUUUGACCAGCAGUCAAAAAGCGUGGUUCUGUUCGAACUAA